GACUGCUGGAAGAUAACGUUUACCGUCUCAAAUCCACGAUGAGGAUGAUCAGGAAAACCCGCUGGUUUGGCAAUACAGAAUUCAUCCAGCAUCAAGAAAGGGUCGAGAUUCUUCAACUGAAAGAAAACAUUUUCAGAGCUCCCAAGUGCACCGGAAGUCAGAAAAUAAACAAGAUGCACAUUUAUUUAGACAACUCGGCACUGCAGUGUUAUCCGCUCUUACAGGAAAUCUUCACCUAUGACAGGUGUUUGUAUGUAGAUGUUACAACCACAUGAGGCCGUGCAUAUGUGAUAAGUACUCUUCAGUGCGGAUCUUCUCCAUCCUUUCUGAUGUACUCUCAUCCAAUCCACUGUGUUGAGCUAUGAUGUCUUUGA